rnacentral:rRNA from 1 species
AUUGAACGCUGGCGGCAGGCCUAACACAUGCAAGUCGAGCGGAGCGGCGGACGGGUGAGUAAUGUCUGGGUAACUGCUUGGUGGGGGGGGCUUACGUACGCAAACGGUCGUUAAUCAUGCAUACUACUAGAUGUGCCUCGGUCGGAUUAGCUAGUUGGUGGGGUAAAGGCCUACCAAGGCGACGAUCCGUAACUGGUCUGAGAGGAGGAUCAGUCACACUGGAACUGAGACACGGUCCAGACUCCUACGGGAGGCAGCAGUGGGGAAUAUUGGACAAUGGGCGAAAGCCUGAUCCAGCCAUGCCGCGUGUGUGAAGAAGGUCUUCGGAUUGUAAAGCACUUUAAGUUGGGAGGCGUUACCAACAGAAUAAGCACCGGCUAACUCCGUGCCAGCCGCCGCGGUAAUUC